rnacentral:sRNA from 1 species
AACUAGCCCUGAUAGCAGUGAAAAUCCUUUUUAUUUUUUCUUUAAAAAUAAAAAGAUUGCAACGGAUAGCAGGAAUAGCU